GAUGAACGCUGGCGGCGUGCCUAAUACAUGCAAGUCGAGCGAACGGACGAGAAGCUUGCUUUUCUGAUGUUAGCGGCGGACGGGUGAGUAACACGUGGAUAACCUACCUAUAAGACUGGGAUAACUUCGGGAAACCGGAGCUAAUACCGGAUAAUAUUUUGAACCGCAUGGUUCAAAAGUGAAAGACGGUCUUGCUGUCACUUAUAGAUGUAUCCGCGCUGCAUUAGCUAGUUGGUAAGGUAACGGCUUACCAAGGCAACGAUGCAUAGCCGACCUGAGAGGGUGAUCGGCCACACUGGAACUGAGACACGGUCCAGACUCCUACGGGAGGCAGCAGUAGGGAAUCUUCCGCAAUGGGCGAAAGCCUGACGGAGCAACGCCGCGUGAGUGAUGAAGGUCUUCGGAUCGUAAAACUCUGUUAUUAGGGAAGAACAUAUGUGUAAGUAACUGUGCACAUCUUGACGGUACCUAAUCAGAAAGCCACGGCUAACUACGUG
rnacentral:rRNA from 1 species